rnacentral:rRNA from 1 species
CACGUAGGGGCCAAGCGUUGUCCGGAUUUAUUGGGCGUAAAGAGCUCGUAGGCGGCUCGGUAAGUCGGGUGUGAAACCUCCAGGCUCAACCUGGAGACGCCACCUGAUACUGCUGUGGCUAGAGUCCGGUAGGGGAGCGUGGAAUUCCUGGUGUAGCGGUGAAAUGCGCAGAUAUCAGGAGGAACACCAGCGGCGAAGGCGGCGCUCUGGGCCGGAACUGACGCUGAGACGCGAAAGCGUGGGGAGCGAACAGG